GACGAACGCUGGCGGCGUGCUUAACACAUGCAAGUCGAACGGAAAGGCCUGCUUGCCGGGUCCUCGAGUGGCGAACGGGUGAGUAACACGUUGGUGAUCUGCCCUGCACUUCGGUAUAAGCCUUGGAAACUGGGUCUAAUACCGUAUAGGAGCCAUUUUUAGUGUGUUGGUUGGAAAGUUUUUUCGGUGUGGGGUGAGCUCGCGGCCUAUCAGCUUGUUGGUGGGGUAAUGUCCUACCAAGGCGGCGGCGGGUAGCCGGCCUGAGGUGGUGGACGGCCACAAUGGGAAUGAGAGAAGGCCCAGACGCAGACGGGAGGAAGAAGGGGGGAAUAUUGAAAAAGGGGCGAAAGACUGAUGAAGAGACGCCGCGGGGGGGAGGACGGGCUUAGGGUUGGAAAAGAAAUUCGCUGGGGACGAAGCUUUUUGUGACGGUACCUAGAGAAGAAGCACCGGCUAACUACGUG
rnacentral:rRNA from 1 species